rnacentral:rRNA from 1 species
GAUGAACGCUGGCGGCGUGCCUAAUACAUGCAAGUCGAGCGAACGGACGAGAAGCUUGCUUCUCUGAUGUUAGCGGCGGACGGGUGAGUAACACGUGGAUAACCUACCUAUAAGACUGGGAUAACUUCGGGAAACCGGAGCUAAUACCGGAUAAUAUUUUGAACCGCAUGGUUCAAAAGUGAAAGACGGUCUUGCUGUCACUUAUAGAUGGAUCCGCGCUGCAUUAGCUAGUUGGUAGGGUAACGGCUUACCAAGGCAACGAUGCAUAGCCGACCUGAGAGGGUGAUCGGCCACACUGGAACUGAGACACGGUCCAGACUCCUACGGGAGGCAGCAGUAGGGAAUCUUCCGCAAUGGGCGAAAGCCUGACGGAGCAACGCCGCGUGAGUGAUGAAGGUCUUCGGAUCGUAAAACUCUGUUAUUAGGGAAGAACAUAUGUGUAAGUAACUGUGCACAUCUUGACGGUACCUAAUCGGAAAGCCACGGCUAACUACGUG